GAUGAAGAACGUAGCGAAAUGCGAUAAGUAAUGUGAAUUGCAGAAUUCAGUGAAUCAUCGAAUCUUUGAACGCACAUUGCGCCCGUCAGUAUUCUGGCGGGCAUGCCUGUUCGAGCGUCAUUACGCCCCUCAAGUCCCCUGUGGACUUGGUGUUGGGGAUCGGCGAGGCUGGUUUUCCAGCACAGCCGUCCCUUAAAUUAAUUGGCGGUCUCGCCGUGGCCCUCCUCUGCGCAGUAGUAAAACACUCGCAACAGGAGCCCGGCGCGGUCCACUGCCGGAAAACCCCCCAACUUUUUAUAGUUGACCUCGAAUCAGGUAGGACUACCCGCUGAACUUAAGCAUAUCAAUAAGCGGAGGA
rnacentral:misc_RNA from 1 species